rnacentral:lncRNA from 1 species
GUUUUCCAACACUCGACAGGCUGACACAACUCUUCUGCACACUCUGGUGUUUGUGUCUGUCACUCUGCACACUCUGGUGUUUGUGUCUUCUGGUGAUCCUGGAUUAUCAAGCCGUGACAAUGUUGAUGGUUGCAUGUCAGGAGCAGAUAAUAUUGAUGACUAACAGCAAAUGGAUUCCUGAUUCUUAGAUGAGUACAAUGUUGCCCAGAAAAAGAAUGACAUAUAUCCACCUAUUCUGCAUCUUUAUGGGCCAUAUGAAUAGUUCUGACCAAUUACAUAAACAAGAAAUAUUGAGUGAUGCCUCUGGAACUGUAGUUGCCUUCAAGGAACUGAAGACCCAGAGCAAAGAUCUCCAAAGAACAACGUGUAUGCACAGGCUGUGGCAGAGAAUGCUGGAUGUGGCACUUGCUGGAGCUGACAAAUCUACUUGUGCUGGCAGGGUGUGGGAUGCUGCCUGUUCCCUGAGGUGGGCAGCUGACAGACAAGCAAAGAAGCCUUUAAAGACUGACUUAGGAUAUUAA